CCUACGGGGGGCAGCAGUGAGGAAUAUUGGUCAAUGGACGCAAGUCUGAACCAGCCAAGUAGCGUGCAGGAUGACGGCUCUCCGGGUUGUAAACUGCUUUUAGUUGGGAAUAAAAGGGGGCUCGUGAGCCCCGUAUUGUAUGUACCAUCAAAAAAGGGACCGGCUAAUUCCGUGCCAGCAGCCGCGGUAAUUCGGAAGGUGCGGGCGUUAUCCGGAUUUAUUGGGUUUAAAGGGAGCGUAGGCAGGCGUUUAAGUCAGCUGUGAAAGUCCGGGGCCAAACCGUGGAAUUGCAGUUGAAACUGGAGGACUAGAGUGAAGACAGGGAGGCCGGAAUUCAUGGUGUAGCGGUGAAAUGCUUAGAGAUCAUGAAGAACACCGAUCGCGAAGGCAAGUGUCCGGGGUGCAACUGACGCUGAGGCACGAAAGUGCGGGGAUCAAACGGGAUUAGAUACCCGGGUAGUC
rnacentral:rRNA from 1 species